rnacentral:lncRNA from 1 species
CCAAGCUUGAGCCAAGGAAGACAGAUUGUUCCUGGUUUGUUUAUAAGCUUACAGGGGAGUGGAAACAAUCUUUCCAGCCAAGCUUCCUUGGGCCAGUUGAAGUGAAACCAAGGAUUGUCCACUUAUCUCAGUAAUUAAGGCACAAAGAGACCCAUGCUGUUUGGGUCUGACUUUUCCAAAUCUGAGGGAUGAUGGUUUUAGCAAAUUCAGUGUGGACCAGAUCUUUGAUUCACUGUGGUCAUUCAGUCGUUUCUGAGUCAUUGCUGGACAGCAGAAGCAGACAGCUGAAUCACAGCUCAGAAAACCGUAAUGAGCUGAGCAGCAUUACAGCUUGUUUCGCUUAAUAUUUAUUCUUAAAACAUGACUUCAUUUGUGAUGGCUAUACUUGGAGAUCCAGAUACAAGUCCAGCGUGUUUGCUGUAACAAGUUAAUGCGAUGAAAUAUGGAAAAACCUAUUUGCCUCUGUCUUCAAAAUUUGCACAAAGCUCCUUUCUGGUGAGGAUUGCGUUGCACUGAUCUCUACACAUUUUCCUGGCAUGCAGUGCUGUUUGGCCCUUUAUGGGAUGGGCACAAAGACCCUGUGUCUACCUUCCCAGUGGGCUGCAUAAGAGACCGGGCACAGUGGAGACACAUACAAAGGAAACUUGAAAUUAAACCUAAAGACCUUAUUAGACUCAAAUCACAUAUUUUUGGCAAGAAAAUUGUAUUGUUCAUGCUAUCAAUUGCCUUUUGUGUUAUAUGAGAAGGACCAACUCAGGGAAGAAGUUCAUUGGUACAAACCCCACACCAUGGGACCCCUGGAGGACUAUACCUUAGAAGCAGGGAUGAAAGAGAGACUGCCAUUCCCGUGGUUACAGCUAUUGAAAUGACACCCAUAGAAAACAGAAGAAAAUAAUUAGCUUCCACUCAUUUCCAAACCCAGUACUGUGAGUUAAAAAUUAACCACAAAGCAUAAAUGUAUUUUUGUAUGAUACAUCCUAAAGAAUAUUUAAAGGCAUUCUGAGUUUGCUAUUAAAUUUAUCUUGUGGUGGAAAAAUCUUUCUUUCCCACACACAGUGGCUUGCAUUACUUUGUUAAAUGUACACUUAUUGAACCCUUUCUUGGAACAUUGAAAGCUACACUUAUUGAACCCUUACAGGGCACAUUGCAAAUCUUGGGGGAAUGGCACUUCAAGUGACAUUGUGCCAAGUAGGAGAUAUUAUAAGACAUAAGAGCAGUGCCAUGCCAAGCCAAAUAGGAGUCUGAGACAAAAAGAAAAUCAAUAAUACUGAGCCAGGC